CCAACAAUGAUGCUCCAACAACCGGCUGUGCAUUUCAGCCACCCACCUAUUUUUAUUAGAUAAGGCCUUGGGUUUUGUGGUGAGUGAAGCAAAGAAAACAAGAUCAUACUUAUAUUAAACUAACAACUAGGGUGCAUAUGGUGGCAAAGCCUAAGUGUUAAGUAUAAAAGAGAUCUUGCAGGAGAAGAUGGAGAAACUUCCCAAAAGUUGAGCAAGCAUUUGUAACCCUUAGUAGGAAGUACUAUACGUAUCUGAUUUUUAGAUUGCUUUCUUUGUUGAAAAUGUGAACCUUGAAUGGUCUCAUGUUGAAUUUCUUUUGCAACUUUUGUAUAAGUGAUUAGAUUUUCUUAUGAAUUUAACAAGCGAAAUUUUUGGUAGUAACUUCUGUAAGCUCUGAGGUUUCUUUGUAAUUGAGUCUAGUUGUGGUCUAGAUUGGUGCUGGUCCUUUUGUUUUUCCUUGCUUCUGAAUCUAUUGUGUUGGCUGUUUUUGUACUGUUUCUUUGCUGCUGAAUGAAUUUCAGUCAUAUCUCCAAAUAAAAUAAAAUAAAAUAAAAACUUAUGUUGUUUCCA